rnacentral:rRNA from 1 species
CACGUAGUUAGCCGGCGCUUCUUCUGCAGGUACCGUCACUUUCGCUUCUUCCCUGCUGAAAGCGGUUUACAACCCGAAGGCCGUCAUCCCGCACGCGGCGUCGCUGCAUCAGGCUUUCGCCCAUUGUGCAAUAUUCCCCACUGCUGCCUCCCGUAGGAGUCUGGGCCGUGUCUCAGUCCCAGUGUGGCCGGUCACCCUCUCAGGCCGGCUACCCGUCAUCGCCUUGGUGAGCCAUUACCUCACCAACAAGCUGAUAGGCCGCGAGUCCAUCCAAAACCGAUAAAUCUUUCCACCAGCACCCCAUGCGAGGACUGGUCGUAUCCGGUAUUAGACCCAGUUUCCCGGGCUUAUCCCAGAGUUAAGGGAAGGUUACUCACGUGAUACUCACCCGUUCGCCACUAAUCCAACCGUGCAAGCACGGUCUUCAUCGUUCGACUUGCAUGUGUUAAGCACGCCGCCAGCGUUCAUCCUGAGCCAGGAUCAAACUCU